GAUGAAGAACGUAGCGAAAUGCGAUAAGUAAUGUGAAUUGCAGAAUUCAGUGAAUCAUCGAAUCUUUGAACGCACAUUGCGCCCGGUAGUAUACUGCCGGGCAUGCCUGUUCGAGCGUCAUUUCAACCAUCAAGCCCCAGCGCUUGUGUUGGGGGCCUGCGGCUGCCGCAGCCCCCUAAAAGCAGUGGCGGGCUCGCUAUCACACCGAGUGCAGUAGUUCAUCUUCUCUCCGGUCUUGUGAGGCGGGUUCCGGCCGUGAAACACCCCACUACAUUCAAGGUUGACCUCGGAUCAGGUAGGAAUACCCGCUGAACUUAAGCAUAUCAAUAAGCGGAGGA
rnacentral:misc_RNA from 1 species